ensembl:lncRNA
AGCCUUGCUAAGUGCUGAGAACUGGAGGGCGGACAGCCCAGGGUCCCAGCAAAGGGACUCACUGUUGAUUCACUUCUCCCCAGAAGGAUGGGGAUUUGGAAGGUCUCUCUUGAACGCGAACAGGCUGAGGGCUACUGCAGAGCACUGUUAAGAGGAGGCCUCUCUGACAAAGGUAAUAAUCACCCCAAAUGAGCGGUGACUUGAAGCUAAAGGACACUGCACGAACCAUAUUCCCCAAAUAACAAAUCGUAUUCGAAAUGCUUAAUUUUUUUCCAUCUCAGUCCAUCAGACAAAGACAUUCCAUCAGGAUGGCAGACAGGCCCAUCAGAACAGUGACUGACAAUCGAGAGGUGUUGAACAGCAACUCAGAGCUAAUCCAAGAGCAAAGUCCAGGUGAUCAAGCCUAUUAGAGUGGAAUCAGCACAGAGCGGGACCUACUAUGAUAAAUAGUUAACCCAGCGAGUCCCAGGUGUAGCGUGUAGUUUUGUCUACACUGCUUUGCGUUCCCAGCUGGUCAAAUGCAUGUACCCACCCAGGAGCUAUCUCAGAUCCGCAGGUCUUCAAGAUCAACCAAGAAGACCCCCAAACUCCCAAGUAGCUCUCUGCUUCAGUCAUAGAAAAAAAAAUCAAG